rnacentral:rRNA from 1 species
GACGAACGCUGGCGGCGUGCCUAACACAUGCAAGUCGAACGAGGUCCAUCCUUCGGGAGAAGACCUAGUGGCGAACGGGUGAGUAACACGUGAAGAACCUGCCCCGAAGACCGGGAUAACCCUCCGAAAGGAGAGCUAAUACCGGAUACCCCCACCGAACCGCAUGGUUUGGUGAGGAAAUGGAUUCCGCUUCGGGAGGGCUUCGCGGCCUAUCAGCUAGUUGGUGGGGUAACGGCCCACCAAGGCAUCGACGGGUAGCUGGUCUGAGAGGACGAUCAGCCACACUGGGACUGAGACACGGCCCAGACUCCUACGGGAGGCAGCAGUGGGGAAUCUUGCGCAAUGGGCGAAAGCCUGACGCAGCAACGCCGCGUGGGGGAUGAAGGCUCUCGGGUUGUAAACCCCUUCAGCAGGGACGAAUCAAGACGGUACCUGCAGAAGAAGCCCCGGCUAACUACGUGCCAGCAGCCGCGGUAAU